rnacentral:rRNA from 1 species
GACGAACGCUGGCGGCGUGCUUAACACAUGCAAGUCGAACGGAAAGGCCCUGCUUUUGUGGGGUGCUCGAGUGGCGAACGGGUGAGUAACACGUGAGUAACCUGCCCUUGACUUUGGGAUAACUUCAGGAAACUGGGGCUAAUACCGGAUAUGAUCUCCUGCUGCAUGUUGGGGGUUGGAGAGUUUCGGCGGUUGGGGAUGGACUCGCGGCUUAUCAGCUUGUUGGUGGGGUAGUGGCUUACCAAGGCUUUGACGGGUAGCCGGCCUGAGAGGGUGACCGGCCCCAUUGGGACUGAGAUACGGCCCAGACUCCUACGGGAGGCAGCAGUGGGGAAUAUUGCACAAUGGGCGGAAGCCUGAUGCAGCAACGCCGCGUGCGGGAUGACGGCCUUCGGGUUGUAAACCGCUUUCGCCUGUGACGAAGCGUGAGUGACGGUAAUGGGUAAAGAAGCACCGGCUAACUACGUG